GUGUAGACAUAAAGACACGCUUCUUUUCUUUCAGCAGCAACUGCUGAAGCAGAGGAAUAGGGAUUUCAUUCACCAGUGAGCGAAACUACUAGGGUUACGGUAGGCGUGAAUUAAAGAUGCCCAAAAAGAUGGGUGUGAAUUCUAAGGCUGAGGCGGCGAGGGCCCGCAAGAGCGCCGCGGAAACGGAGAAAAAAGAUCGGGAGACUCGAGAGAAGGAGGAGCAGUACUGGCGAGAGGCAGAGAGUUCAAAGCCACGCGCCGCCAAGAAGAGGGAGGAAGAGGCGGAUAAGAAGGCGGAGGCGGCGGCACGACGAGCGGAGGUACGUCGAUUGGCGGAGCUGGAGGAGAAAGAGCUGGAGAAGAUGAUUAAAAAGCCCGACAAAAAGGCAAACAGGGUGUCGAUCCCUGUGCCGAAGGUUACGGAGGCGGAGCUGAGGAAGCGGCGGGAGGAGGAGCAAGCCAUGGCUAUGAAGAAGGCGGAGGAAGCGAAGAAGAGGACGGCUGGGGAGGAUGAGUACGAGAGAGUGGUGCUUGUGUCGAAUACGAAUCGCGAUGAUUCAAUUAUCGAAGCGAGUACUCUUGACGAAGCCAUCGCUCAGAUGAGUAUCGAUAACAACUUACCCCCCGACAGGCAUCCAGAGAGGCGCCUCAAGGCUUCCUUCAAGGCAUUUGAAGAAGCUGAACUACCUAAGUUGAAGCAAGAGAAACCAGGGCUUACAUACACACAAUACAAGGACAUGAUUUGGAAGCUUUGGAAGAAAUCUCCUGACAAUCCUCUUAAUCAAAUUGCUGCUGAGUGAAUGAUGAAUCAAUAAAGUCAUGGCUUGGCGGAGUCAUUUGCAUAGCAUUUCCAUCUCAAAUUCAUGAUUAAGUUGUCAUUAACUCAUUAUACUCUUCUUUCUCACUCCCUCUCUCUAAGAAAAUGGAGAAGGAACAAUAAGCUCUGGUGCGAAGGCUGAAGGGAGAUGAAAAAUAGAAACCAAGGCGUGUGAAAAUUCUAGAAGCAGAGGCACUCGAGUCAUUUAUUUUGAUCUUAAUGGUUGAUAAUAACCCUCUCACUCCAACAUAAAAAUAUUCAUCCUCGUUGAUAUGCUCCCUAAUCCCUAUAGUGUAUAUAUGUGGAUAUGCUCUGAACACAACUGUAGAUUCCUCAAGUUAGAGAGGAUUAUGUGAA